UGGCGAACGGGUGAGUAACACGUGAGGAACCUGCCCCGAAGACCGGGAUAACAGCGGGAAACCGCUGCUAAUACCGGAUGUCCCCACCGGACCGCAUGAUCUGGUGAGGAAAUGGAUUCCGCUUCGGGAGGGCCUCGCGGCCUAUCAGCUUGUUGGUGGGGUAACGGCCUACCAAGGCGACGACGGGUAGCUGGUCUGAGAGGACGAUCAGCCACACUGGGACUGAGACACGGCCCAG
rnacentral:rRNA from 1 species